CCUACGGGAGGCUGCAGUGGGGAAUAUUGGACAAUGGGCGCAAGCCUGAUCCAGCCAUGCCGCGUGUGUGAAGAAGGCCUUCGGGUUGUAAAGCACUUUCAGCAGUGAGGAAAGGAGGUUGGCUAAUACCUGACCUCUGUGACGUUAACCACAGAAGAAGCACCGGCUAACUCCGUGCCAGCAGCCGCGGUACUACGGAGGGUGCAAGCGUUAAUCGGAAUAACUGGGCGUAAAGCGCACGCAGGCGGUUUGUUAAGCCAGAUGUGAAAGCCCCGGGCUCAACCUGGGAACCGCAUUUCGAACUGGCAAACUAGAGUCUUGUAGAGGGGGGUAGAAUUCCAGGUGUAGCGGUGAAAUGCGUAGAGAUCUGGAGGAAUACCGGUGGCGAAGGCGGCCCCCUGGACAAAGACUGACGCUCAGGCACGAAAGCGUGGGGAGCAAACAGGAUUAGAUACCCGGGUAGUC
rnacentral:rRNA from 1 species